GCGGUUGUGGUGGAAUGGCAGACACGCCAUCUUGAGGGGGUGGUGGGCUUCGCCCGUGGAGGUUCGAGUCCUCUCAACCGCAUCA
rnacentral:tRNA from 1 species